rnacentral:rRNA from 1 species
AACGAACGCUGGCGGCAUGCCUAACACAUGCAAGUCGAACGAGACCUUCGGGUCUAUUGGCGCACGGGUGCGUAACGCGUGGGAACCUGCCCUUAGGUUCGGAAUAACUCCCCGAAAGGGGUGCUAAUACCGGAUAAUGUCUUCGGACCAAAGAUUUAUCGCCUUUGGAUGGGCCCGCGUUGGAUUAGCUAGUUGGUAGGGUAAAAGCCUACCAAGGCGACGAUCCAUAGCUGGUCUGAGAGGAUGAUCAGCCACACUGGGACUGAGACACGGCCCAGACUCCUACGGGAGGCAGCAGUGGGGAAUAUUGGACAAUGGGCGAAAGCCUGAUCCAGCGAUGCCGCGUGAGUGAUGAAGGCCUUAGGGUUGUAAAGCUCUUUUACCCGGGAUGAUAAUGACGGUACCGGGAUAAUAAGCUCCGGCUAACUCCGUG